GUAGGCUGGACAUCUUUGUGAUUUUGAAGUUCGUGGAAGAAAAGGAUAGAACGAUCAGAGAUUCGAAAGAGAAGCAGAACAUGGCAGCACGAUGUGCCACUACGUCACCGUAGAUGAUCGUCUUCUCAACUGAGGACUUCGGGCAUCCAUCGCUUUGGUAUUGCGGAUUGUGAAUGCAAAGCAAAGCUGUUAACUAUACACCAUGUAGGCGCUUGGUGGGAUCUCAGAUUGUAAGAAAUCAAAAAGUACGACAAUACAUUUACUUCCAAUGACA